rnacentral:rRNA from 1 species
UACGUAGGGUGCAAGCGUUGUCCGGAAUUAUUGGGCGUAAAGAGCUCGUAGGCGGUCUGUCGCGUCGGCUGUGAAAUCCCGAGGCUCAACCUCGGGUCUGCAGUCGAUACGGGCAAACUAGAGUAUUGCAGGGGAGACUGGAAUUCCUGGUGUAGCGGUGGAAUGCGCAGAUAUCAGGAGGAACACCGAUGGCGAAGGCAGGUCACUGGGCCGCAACUGACGCUGAGGAGCGAAAGCAUGGGGAGCGAACAGG